CCCUGCGUUCGUAAGUGAUCAGGGGAUACCCAUGCCCUGGUCAAUGGUAGUGCAGGCAGAGAAAAUGUGGAAAGCGCUGUCCAGUGUUUAGAAGGUCCAUGCCUUCCAGUGCUGGGAGGUUUCCCACA